ACAACCUCUUGAAAAGAAACUGCUUAACCAAAGACUCUUUACAGCUGCAGUUCAGAUUCCAGAUGUGAGGUCAAUGGUGGAGAAGGAGAGAUGGAAGACUUGGGGAACAGCUAUGUACAUGCCAGAGGAAUGCCUAUGAGAGAGACCCCCUAGGAACCGAUGCUGACACCUGCACUGGAUUAAUGGUGAUGAAGACCUGGCAUCAGUUUCUGGGAUGAGGGGGUUGGGAAGAGCGCUCCAGGCUAUAUUCAGCCUGCCCAAGCCUGUGGGAGCGGAUUGGGGCGACGAGGUAUUGCCAUGAUGACUCCCUUUUAAAUCGAAACAAGGUUGGAGAGGAUUGGAGAAGAGCAGGGGGUUUCAACGUUCCAACGUCUCUUCGAAAGGGGGUGUCUUGUCUUCUAUUCACAGGCAUAAUCGUGAGUUUCAGAGGUUACCCUUGGAUGUGGCUAUCCACCAAUACCAACCAGGAGAUUGGGUACGAGUUCGGAAGUGGAAGCAAGAGCCUUUGCAGCCCACGUGGGGACCACCGGAGCAAAUCAUUUUGAUUACCGAAUCGGCAGUAAAGCUCGUAGGCCAUAAGCGGUGGGUCCAUGCCAGUAGGAUAAAGAAAGCGGAACGAAUAAUUACCCAGGAACCAGAGAAGGGAGUAGCCAAGGACUCCCCACCUGGAGAGGCGAAGGAUCAGACGCCUGAAGAAAAGUGGUUGUCGGAAACCGUGCCGGGUUUCAACCUGAAGCUCAAGUUGAAGAAACAGAGAGACUGAGAUUGUAUGGGCGGUUCACGGAAACCUUUUCCCAUCCAGCCUACUAGUAUACAAGUACCAGGAGACCCUAGGAGGAAGGUUCCAAUAGCAGUAGUUCAAAUUGUAGAUACGUGUGCUAAGGAAAGAAAACAACACCUACAUACCAUCGCUCGAACCUUUCUGAAUUCUGUUCUUCCGCCCAAUAUUGAUCUCAGGACUGUACGCCUGAGGUGGUAGAUGGGGGGAUCUAGGCCUCCUCUCCCUUUUCGGCUUAUAGUUUUACCAGUACGGUUGCCCCAUGGGGCCGGAUCAAAAGUGUCAGUCACAGUAAAAUAUGCUCGAGUGAUUAUCGGGGAAUUUGGAGAAUAUCAGCAGUGGAGUAUGGUUACGUACACCUUUGUGCAUUUUCAACAACCACAUUCUUCGCCAAGGGCGGAUUGGGCAGGAAGGUGGUAGUACUGAUAGCAUAUUCUGGUAAUUAGGGAACUGAAUCUUUGCAAUAGAAGGGCAGAUUGAAAUCGAAAUUUUUGAUUUAAGUCAAUGGGAGGAAGUGUUCCACCUUCCCCAUUAAUUGCAAUAAUAGCUGCAAGGAACGAAAGGAACUAUCAAAGGUAUCUUCGAGUUCCUGUAGUAGUAAUUCAGAAACGACCACCUUUAAUUGGUUCACGCCUUGAUAGGCCAUAUCAGUGGCAUACAGUGGUUCGGACUUGGGUGAAUCACAGAAUUCCAAAUAGUGGUAUUAGAUUUGUGUACUAGAUUUGUGGCCUAAGUUGUAUCUCAUGAUAAAAUGGGGAGAAACUCAGCAGAUAUUAAUUCUCUGGGCUUUAAGCCUAUCCUUGUUACUAUUUUGUGUCUCACUUCUUUAUUUGUGGUAUAUAUCUGCCUCCCAACUCCUUUUUCCACUCAAGAAGCGGGAAUAUGUAGAGAUCAAAGGAGCUCAUUCCAGAAGGAAAAAAGGGAAAAUGUGUUUGUUGAACUAGCUCAAGAGGUAGCCAGAGGGUUUAACCUUACAAAUUGUUGGAUCUGUGGAAGUCCAAAAGGAUUUUUAAAAUGGCCAUGGAUAGGAUUUCCCCUUGCACCCUACUGGCUUUUAAGUAACAAAAGUGAAGUACAUGUUAAUCUAAGCACUUGGACAGAGCCACAUGAAUGGGAGUUGUACAAAUCAAGUUUGGGCAAAUAUUGUCUCCAACAGAAUAUUUCAGGAGGUAAAUAUGUUGGAGCCAGUAAAUGUAAUUGGACAUUGGGAUGGCGUGAAUAUUGUUCCAUUGGUAAUUGUCCAGUUACAAACUGUACUAAAUUUGCUUCUCGAUGGAAUAAUACACACAUCCAACUCGAAAAUGGAACAUGGUGCUCAUGUAUUCCUGGUGCACGUAAUCGGAGUUCAUGUAAGUCUAAGUGUUCAGAUCCUUUUACAGAUAUUCAAUUGAGUGACUGCCAAGAAAGGAAUCUAACGAUUCCUACAGUCUUAAAAGAUUAAGGUUGGCUAUGGAAGCACCUUAAUGGAACCAUUAUUAUGGGAUUUCAGAAUUAUUGGCAGUAUGGAACCAAACUAAUAAUGAUACUAGAUGUACAUACAGAAAUGAAUCCCAAUUAUGGAAGUGUAAUUUUGUUUUGGGACAAGGAUACCGCAUUGUCACAGGCCCUCUCGGUGCAAAGGAUACAUAUUACAUUCCUUAUAAUAAAAACUCUCCAAUUUUACACAAUACUACUAUGCCUGCAUUAAAAGGACACUAUUGGAUUUGUGAUCAAAAGGCUUGUGCAAUUCUUCCCUUAAAUUGGACUGGUAUUUGUUAUGUUGGAAUCAUACAGCCAAUGUAUACUAUAAAAGGUGGAAGUCUAAAUCCUUUAGUUCCAGUAUUUGAUGGAGAACAAUCUGAAAGAAAGAGAAGGGCACUUGAUCUUUCUUUAACGAAAGGCCAAGACAAUGGUUGGAGAGAUACUUGGCCUCCAGAAAGGAUCAUUGAACAUUAUGAUCCUGCUUCAUGGGCACAAGAUGGUUCAGUGGGAUACCGCGGCCCAAUAUACAUUUUGAAUCGCCUUAUUAGACUUCAGGCGGUAAUAGAAAUAAUAACCAAUCAAACAGCUAAAGCUUUAACCUUGCUUGCUGAUCAAUCAACUCAAAUGAGAGAAGCAAUACUCCAAAACCGAUUGGCCUUGGAUUAUUUAUUAGCUAAAGAAGGAGGUGUCUGCGGACUCCUUAAUUUGACAGAAUGUUGUGUGAAAAUUGAUGACAACGGCAAUAUAGUAAAAGACAUUGCUAAUAAAAUCAAAAAGCUUGUUUAUGUCCCGGUACAAACUUGGCAAGGAAUAAAUCUUGGAGCUUGGGGAAAUUGGUUCAAUUGGUUUGGAGGAAUGAAGACAAUGAUCGUAUUGGUUCUUCUGAUUUUAAUGGGAUGUAUGCUUUUGCCUUGCUUGUUACCUGUAAUUAUGAACGGCAUUCGUAGCAUAAUAGAUAAUGCAGUAACUAAAAGUAAUAUGCAAAUGUAUGGUAGAAUUAUGUAUCAGCAAGUGAUUCAGAAUGAAGAAGCUAUAUGAUAUAAAUAUCAAAAAGCUUCUAAGGGGGGAAUUGUGACACUGAAUUCUGUUUGUUUGACUGAAUUAAUAAUAUAUUUUGUUCAAUUAAGCUUUCUUUGCAUAGUCAAAGUAAAAAGGAGUAUUAGGCCUGUUUUGCUGUUUGGAAUUCAUAGUAGAAAUGUAUUGAGAAUCACAUUGCUUGUGCUAAAAUGCUGACAGUUAAUUUACUUGUGUGUGUGUAAAGAGAAAUGCUAGUUUGCUGAAUUGCAGAACCAUUGUUUGUUUAAAGCUGUGUCUGCAAAAUAGAUAACUGUAUUCUCACAGGCUUUUAGUUGCAAAUGCACCUGUGCCGAAGAAAGUAUCAGACUAUGUUGCACAUGUACAAGGCUAAGAUGAACAUAACAAGAUAACAAGUGUGAAAAACAACUUCUAAAUAUGGUUAUGAGGAGGAAAUGGGCAUGGAUUAAUGAUGUAGUUAUGAUGUAGAUGUGAUGAAAUUGAUGCAUGAAUAAUUAGUAAAAUAAAGCUUAUAAAAAGGCCAGCACAGCAGAGUCUGUCAGAACUGGCUUGGCCCUUCUCCACGUGCACGUGUUAGAAAUAAAUAUACUCU